rnacentral:rRNA from 1 species
UGGGGAAUAUUGCACAAUGGGCGAAAGCCUGAUGCAGCAACGCCGCGUGAGUGAUGAAGGCCUUCGGGUUGUAAAGCUCUGUCUUCUGGGACGAUAAUGACGGUACCAGAGGAGGAAGCCACGGCUAACUACGUGCCAGCAGCCGCGGUAAUACGUAGGGGGCAAGCGUUGUCCGGAUUUACUGGGUGUAAAGGGUGCUCAGGCGGAUUUGUAAGUCAGAGGUGAAAUCUUACAGCUUAACUGUGAAACUGCCUUUGAUACUGCAAGCCUAGAGUAUGGAAGAGAGUGAUGGAAUAUCUGAUGUAGCAGUGAAAUGCGUAGAUAUCAGAUAGAACACCAAUGGCGAAGGCAGUCACUUGGUCCAUUACUGACGCUAAAGCACGAAAGCGUGGGUAGCAAACA